rfam:Habropoda laboriosa contig11433, whole genome shotgun sequence.
GAGUAGUUGGCGUAGUGCGCAACGCCUCGGCUUGCUAAGCCGAAGGUCCCGAGUUCGAUUCCCGGUUGAUCCA